rnacentral:tRNA from 1 species
GAGCAUAGCUCAGUUGGUUUAGAGCAUCUGCCUUACAAGCAGAGGGUCAUAGGUUCGACUCCUAUUGCUCCC